UUACGUUCAUAAUCACGUUGAAACACGGGAUUUCGUAUGAUAACCGAACUUAAGCAACGUCGAGCCUGAUCAGUAUCUAGAUGGGUGACUGCUUGGGAUUACCAGGUGCUGUAAG